rnacentral:rRNA from 1 species
GAUGAACGCUGGCGGCGUGCCUAAUACAUGCAAGUCGAGCGAACAGACGAGGAGCUUGCUCCUCUGACGUUAGCGGCGGACGGGUGAGUAACACGUGGAUAACCUACCUAUAAGACUGGGAUAACUUCGGGAAACCGGAGCUAAUACCGGAUAAUAUAUUGAACCGCAUGGUUCAAUAGUGAAAGACGGUUUUGCUGUCACUUAUAGAUGGAUCCGCGCCGCAUUAGCUAGUUGGUAAGGUAACGGCUUACCAAGGCAACGAUGCGUAGCCGACCUGAGAGGGGGAUCGGCCAAAAUGGAACUGAGACACGGUCCAGAAUCCGAAGGGAGGCAGGAGGAGGGAAACUUCCGGAAAGGGGGAAAGCCUGAAGGAGCAACGCCGCGUGAGUGAUGAAGGUCUUCGGAUCGUAAAACUCUGUUAUUAGGGAAGAACAAAUGUGUAAGUAACUAUGCACGUCUUGACGGUACCUAAUCAGAAAGCCACGGCUAACUACGUG